CCCUCCAGUUCCUGGAAAAUGAGGACAGUUGGACCUACCAGGGAUAAGUGUGUAGAGGAUCUGCAAACACUUAAUAUGGUGAUCAGAGAAGGCCUGCGGACAAGGAGGCAUUUGGAUGAAGAGCUGAUGGAGGCAAGGGACUGAAUUUGUCCUUCCUUAAGAAUAAAAGUGAUCUCACAAGGAAGACCCGAGACAAGAGAAGCAAGAGCAAAGAAAAUGCAUGAGAAUGUAGCUGGAAGCACAUGGAAUUUGAAGUGAGAGAGAACAUAUCUAGUGUGAACACCUGGGCAAGCCACCUCCCUCCUCCAAGUCUCAACUUCUCAUCUGCAAAACGGGGAGAGUCACACCUUCCUAUAGGAUUGUUGAAAGGAGAAAAUGGAACAAUGGAUCAAGUAAAA